GGCUUGGGUCGAUCUAUACUGUGAACUGAUGAUCGUGGAUAUCUUCCGAAGGUCCCUUCAAGCCGCACAAAUAUCCGAUCUCUACGGAUAUCCACAUGAAAUUUUGAUCUAAUUAAAAGCUUUUUGAUCUCAUCAAGGUGCUAGCUCCUUUGUAGAGAUUAUAUCUUGAUGGUUGAAAAUUCUUCUUUUCUCUUAAGACACUCUUAGAG
rnacentral:lncRNA from 1 species